rnacentral:rRNA from 1 species
GAAGGUGAGUUGAGAAGCUUGCUGGAGGUAUCAGAAGUGCGAAUGCUGACAUGAGUAACGAUAAUGGGAGCGAAAAACUCCCACGCCGGAAGACCAAGGUUUCCUGUCCCAUGCUAAUCAGGGCAGGGUAAGUCGGCCCCUAAGGCGAGGCAGAAAUGCGUAGUCGAUGGGAAACGGAUUAAUAUUUCCGUACUUGUAUAAUCAGUGAUGGAGGGACGGAGAAGGCUAGGCAAGCUUGGCGUUGGUAGUCCAAGUGAAAGUGUGUAGG